CGGUACGCACCUGGGUAGGUGAAAUAAAGUGGAUGUGGGUAUCGAUACCGCCAGCGGUCAAUAUCAGGCCUUCGCCGGCGAUUGCUUCUGUUGACGCCCCGAUAAUCAUACCGGGGGUGACACCGUCCAUCAUGUGGGGAUUGCCUGCCUUGCCAAUACCUGCAAUCAGACCGUCCUUAAUGCCAAUAUCUGCUUUGAAAAUUCCAGUGGCGUCAAUAACGAGAGCGCUUGUAAUCACGGUGUCCAGGCAUUCUUCAUCCUUGAAGGGAACGGCCUGGCCCAUGCCAUCGCGCAG
rnacentral:sRNA from 1 species